rnacentral:rRNA from 1 species
AGACCCGAAACCCGGUGAUCUAGCCAUGGGCAGGUUGAAGGUUGGGUAACACUAACUGGAGGACCGAACCGACUAAUGUUGAAAAAUUAGCGGAUGACCUGUGGCUGGGGGUGAAAGGCCAAUCAAACCGGGAGAUAGCUGGUUCUCCCCGAAAGCUAUUUAGGUAGCGCCUCGUGAAUUCAUCUCCGGGGGUAGAGCACUGUUUCGGCUAGGGGGCCAUCCCGGCUUACCAACCCGAUGCAAACUGCGAAUACCGGAGAAUGUUAUCACGGGAGACACACGGCGGGUGCUAACGUCCGUCGUGAAGAGGGAAACAACCCAGACCGCCAGCUAAGGUCCCAAAGUCAUGGUUAAGUGGGAAACGAUGUGGGAAGGCCCAGACAGCCAGGAUGUUGGCUUAGAAGCAGCCAUCAUUUAAAGAAAGCGUAAUAGCUCACUGGUCGAGUCGGCCUGCGCGGAAGAUGUAACGGGGCUAAACCAUGCACCGAAGCUGCGGCAGCGAACGUAUCACUUAAAGCGAUUCAGCGGGUUACGAUUGACGGAGCGAAGCGACGUCAAAGCGUAUACAAAGUCGAGUCGGUUUAAGGAUACGUUCGUUGGGUAGGGGAGCGUUCUGUAAGCCUGUGAAGGUGGCCUGUGAGGGUUGCUGGAGGUAUCAGAAGUGCGAAUGCUGACAUAAGUAACGAUAAAGCGGGUGAAAAGCCCGCUCGCCGGAAGACCAAGGGUUCCUGUCCAACGUUAAUCGGGGCAGGGUGAGUCGACCCCUAAGGCGAGGCCGAAAGGCGUAGUCGAUGGGAAACGGGUUAAUAUUCCCGUACUUGGUGUUACUGCGAAGGGGGGACGGAGAAGGCUAUGUUGGCCGGGCGACGGUUGUCCCGGUUUAAGCGUGUAGGUGUGUGUUCCAGGUAAAUCCGGUUCACUUUAACACUGAGGCGU